rnacentral:tRNA from 1 species
GGUGAGGUUCCCGAGCGGCCAAAGGGGGCAGACUGUAAAUCUGCUGGUUUCACCUUCGAUGGUUCGAAUCCAUCCCUCACCA